rnacentral:rRNA from 1 species
UGGGGAAUUUUGGACAAUGGGGGCAACCCUGAUCCAGCCAUCCCGCGUGUGCGAUGAAGGCCUUCGGGUUGUAAAGCACUUUUGGCAGGAAAGAAACGGUUCCGGAUAAUACCUGGAGCAACUGACGGUACCUGCAGAAUAAGCACCGGCUAACUACGUGCCAGCAGCCGCGGUAAUACGUAGGGUGCAAGCGGUAAUCGGAAUUACUGGGCGUAAAGCGUGCGCAGGCGGUUCGGAAAGAAAGAUGUGAAAUCCCAGAGCUUAACUUUGGAACUGCAUUUUUAACUACCGAGCUAGAGUGUGUCAGAGGGAGGUGGAAUUCCGCGUGUAGCAGUGAAAUGCGUAGAUAUGCGGAGGAACACCAAUGGCGAAGGCAGCCUCCUGGGAUAACACUGACGCUCAUGCACGAAAGCGUGGGGAGCAAACAGG